rnacentral:rRNA from 1 species
CAGUAGCCGCGGUAAUACGGAGGGGGCUAGCGUUGUUCGGAAUUACUGGGCGUAAAGCGCACGUAGGCUGCUUUGUAAGUCAGAGGUGAAAGCCCGGGGCUCAACCCCGGAUGUGCCUUUGAGACUGCAGGGCUAGAACGUCGGAGAGGUGAGUGGAAUUCCGAGUGUAGAGGUGAAAUUCGUAGAUAUUCGGAAGAACACCAGUGGCGAAGGCGGCUCACUGGACGACUGUUGACGCUGAGGUGCGAAAGCGUGGGGAGCAAACAGGAUUAGAUACCCGCGUAGUCCCUGUCUCUUAUAC